rnacentral:rRNA from 1 species
UACGUAGGGUGCGAGCGUUGUCCGGAAUUACUGGGCGUAAAGAGCUCGUAGGUGGUUUGUCGCGUUGUCCGUGAAAUUCCCUGGCUUAACCUGGGAAUGGCAUUCGGGACUGCAAGGCUGGAGUGCGGCAGAGGAGACUGGAAUUCCUGGUGUAGCAGUGAAAUGCGUAGAUAUCAGGAGGAACACCGAUGGCGAAAGGCAGGUCUCUGGGCUGACACUGACGCUCAUGCACGAAAGCGUGGGGAGCAAACAGG